rnacentral:rRNA from 1 species
AGUAGGGAAUCUUCCGCAAUGGACGAAAGUCUGACGGAGCAACGCCGCGUGAGUGAUGAAGGUUUUCGGAUCGUAAAGCUCUGUUGUUAGGGAAGAACAAGUGCCGUUCAAAUAGGGCGGCACCUUGACGGUACCUAACCAGAAAGCCACGGCUAACUACGUGCCAGCAGCCGCGGUAAUACGUAGGUGGCAAGCGUUGUCCGGAAUUAUUGGGCGUAAAGGGCUCGCAGGCGGUUUCUUAAGUCUGAUGUGAAAGCCCCCGGCUCAACCGGGGAGGGUCAUUGGAAACUGGGAAACUUGAGUGCAGAAGAGGAGAGUGGAAUUCCACGUGUAGCGGUGAAAUGCGUAGAGAUGUGGAGGAACACCAGUGGCGAAGGCGACUCUCUGGUCUGUAACUGACGCUGAGGAGCGAAAGCGUGGGGAGCGAA